UUCCCUCGUGCCCCAAGGGCGAAUCUCAGGUCGGAGGAAGGGGCUGAGGGGAUUCCCUCUCCCACCGGGUCCGACUCUUCGCUCCCCAAGCCGCGGAGGGCCAGCCUCUUCUUCGGCGCCCUCCAGGCCUGUUGGAG
ensembl:lncRNA PHF1 PHD finger protein 1